UACGGGAGGCAGUGGGGAAUAUUGCACAAUGGGCGCAAGCCUGAUGCAGCCAUGCCGCGUGUAUGAAGAAGGCCUUCGGGUUGUAAAGUACUUUCAGUCGUGAGGAAGGUGUUAAGGUUAAUAACCUUAGCAAUUGACGUUAGCGACAGAAGAAGCACCGGCUAACUCCGUGCCAGCAGCCGCGGUAAUACGGAGGGUGCGAGCGUUAAUCGGAAUUACUGGGCGUAAAGGGCACGCAGGCGGUUAAUUAAGUUGGAUGUGAAAUCCCGGGCUUAACCUGGGAAUGGCAUUCAAGACUGGUUAGCUAGAGUCUUGUAGAGGGGGUAGAAUUCCAUGUGUAGCGGUGAAAUGCGUAGAGAUGUGGAGGAAUACCGGUGGUGAAAGGCGGCCCCUGGACAAAGACUGACGCUCAUGUGCGAAAGCGUGGGGAGCAAACAGGGAUUAGAUACC
rnacentral:rRNA from 1 species